GUGAAAUUGAUGAAGAUAAUUUAAAAAAAAUUUUAAGACAAGAUGUAGUUAGAUAUCCCGAUCCACACUCCAUACCAGUUGGUGGCGGUAAUGCACCAAAACGUUGUUUGCCAACCGCCAUAAAACACCAAGAAGAAGGAGAAUGCAGAGUUUCUUCCUGACGUAAGCAACAGAUAAAUAAUGGAAUACCAGAUUUUUCUGAUGCUCUUUAUGAUUCAAGUGAUGAUAGCACAGAGGGCCCUUCCAUUUCGAAGUCUGAAAUGGCUUUACAAAGGUCCAGGAGAGGCUGUUGGCGUCCUACUUGCUGUCGGUCACAUUGAAGGAGUGUGCAACAUUGUCUCCAGGUUAUGCGCUACCUCUGUGAGUGCUCGUCUGGUUCUGCAUGAAGGGGAGGGAUUUAAAGGACCCUUUUCACGUGACGUCACGACAAACGCAGCCGCCAUUUUGGACAUGUACUACCAGUAGUUUACCACAGCCAGCAUUGAGGAACGGCAGCAAAAAAAGUGUUUAUUUUCAGCAAGACUUCCAUCAUGCCACUAUAUUGUUGUGCACCUGGAUGUAGUAACCAUCAACAAACAAGGCAAGGGUUAUCAUUUUAUCGGAUCCCGACGGAGAAGAUGGAUAGCGGCCAUUAAAAAAAAAUUAACAGAUUGGCAGCCCUCGGCAUACCAGCGCUUGUGUAGUGACCACUUUGUUGGAGAUGCCAGCAUGCCAUAAGCACAGGAGUCAUAAGAUGAGGGCAGUGUGACAUCCCUGCACAAAUAUACCUCCACAUCAUAUGCCCAAAACCAAAGGAAGUCAGCAACAAAGACAGGUAAACAAACUGCUGUCAAAAAAAGCUGGACACCAGAGAAAUCUGCUGCGGUCAAAAAGCAUUUAAGGAAAUUCAUAGUGAGGAGCCAAGUUCCAGGGAAAAUGGACUGUCAGCACUGCAUUACUGCAGAACCUAAAGCCCUAGGAAACCGAGACUGGAAAGCAGUUAAAUAUUUCAUCAAAAAUCGAAUUUCUGCCAUGAGAAGAAAAGUAGAGUGACUGGCUACAAGAUGUAAGCAGUGUAGAUUCGACUUUAUUCAGUCUGUACCUGCCAGGUAGUUAACACUAGCUAGCCAGCUGUAUGUAGAAACCAGUUCUUUCCAGUCCGAGAGGCAUACAACCAUGUAACGGUAAUUCUAGUUUUCCUUGUUUUAUGUGGUUCAAGUUUUUUGUUGAUCUUUUGUUAAGAAGGACCACAGUAGGGGUGGUAAAAAAAAAAAAUCAAUAUUGCAAUACAUCACAAUACUUCCUCUUUUUGUGUUCUGUUAAUUUUCACAGAAUAAAGCAAGA